GGAUUUGGAUGGAAAAGAAAAGAAAGGAAAUUGUUUUAAUCAUAUUCCCAUGUUUGGUUGAAUAAAUGACAUAAAAAUCUAAAGGAAAGGAAGGGAAGUGAGAGGAAAGUCUCUUAACAAAAUUUUGGCUUUCUUUUCCUCCCAAAAUUGGAGGAAUUUGACUGGAAAGAGAAAAAUAAAAGUAAUUUCCUUUCUCUUCCCUUCAUUUCCUUUCUUCAACCAAAUAUUGGAAAAUAAAAUCACCUUUCUUUCCCUUCUUUUCCUUUCUUUUCCCUUCCCAUCCUUUCUCUUCUUUUCCUUUACUAAUAUAGAACCAAAUAAAGCCUUACUCCCUCUACACCGUCGACAGCGGCGAAAAGGCCAUCAUCUUCGACCGUUUUUGCGGAGUUCUCGAUGAAACUGUCGGCGAAGGUAUUCAUGUCCGAAUUCCAUGGCUUCUGAAGCCUUACACCUUCGAUAUUCGUACUCGACCUCACAAUUUUUCAUCAAUUUCUGACUCUUAGGGUCCGUCAUCAGAUUGGAGUAUGAUGAGAAGGUUCUUCCUUCUAUUGGUCUUGUCCGGGACAGCUUGAUUAAGAGUUGAAUUAUUGGUGAUCAUGUUGUUGUACUACUCCGAAAAGGUUUGUGCUAAUCUGGUGUGAUGAUUUGCUUAAAGGAACAAUAGAAGUAUCUUGCACUCCUCUUAACAAAACGAGUACCUAUAAUUCUUCUAAUGCUUUGUAAAGAUGAUCAAGAAAAUACAGGCCAGUUGCAUUCAGCUGUAUUCUAUAUAAAACGAUCAUUCAGCUCUUCUUGUCUUUCGUCUCAUGCUCUUAAUCAACAUACACAGUAAAUUCAAGUGACAUAAUGAAGACUGAUGCAAGGAAUUUAGAUGCCUUGCCGCCUGAAUUGGCAACGCCUGCUAAACUACCAUCACUAGCUUCGAAACUGAGAUGCAUAAUGGGCCAAAAAGCAUAGCUGGAAAAGAUCAAGGUGAAUAUGCUAGUACAACAGAAAAGUUGCAAGGAAGUUGCUUGUUUGGACAAGAAAUUAUUAAUCAAGAGCAUGUGGAUCAUGUAGCAUUGGAGGUGUCUAUCAAUUCAGAAAGCUCGCCUUGUGGCAUCUAUUUGACCAAUUUUGAUCCAGAGCACAAUGUCCAUAGAGAAAAUAUUAGUCUAGGUCACCUUAAAAUCCUCAACGAUUCUCCUUUCCACAACACGUUGUUAUAAGUAUGAACUUAUUUACAAGGAAAGUGAAGUGUCUGAAUUGAAGUGAAAACAAGUCAAAAGUGAUGCGGAGGCAUAUGAAAUGUAUAGUGAUUAUGCAUUUAGGCAUGGAUUUACUAUUAGGAAGGGGAAAAUUCGAUAUGUUGGUAAUUCAAGUGUUUGGAGAGGCAGAAACUACCUAUGUUUAAAUGCUGGUUUGAAGGAUACUUCUUAUAAGGUGCCUAGGAAGUUUUCUAAGUUGGAUUACCCUACAUAUUGUGAAGCUUACAUUGAUUUUGUAAUUGAUGAGAAGGGUGUUUGGACUGCUGUUAAACAUAAUAUGGAUCACAACCAUGCUAUGAUACCUGUUUAGAAGAGACAUCUUCUUAGGUCUUAAAGGAUAAUUCAAGGUGAGCAUUUGAAGUUCAUUAGUACUAUGAAGGCUAGUGGGGUUAGGGUUACAGAUUCUGUUCAUGCUUUUGGGAAAGAAGUAGGUGGAUCUCCUAAUCUAUGAUACUCUAUUACUGAUGUUUACAAUGCUUUAGCUACUGAAAAAGCUGGCAGAUUAGAAGGUGGUGAUUGUAAUGCUUUGAUCAAGUCUUUUGCUGCAAGACAAGCGAAAGAGAGUAACUUUUAUUAUGAGUUUGAGGUUUAUGGAAAUCAUUCCCUUUGUAGUGUAUUUUAGAGGGAUGGAACAAUGCGAAGGGAUUAUGAAGCCUUUGGUGAUUUGAUGGUCUUUGAUACCACCUAUAUAUAGAAUCAAAUAAUAUGGAAUGAUUUGUGCUUCUUUUAUUGGUAUGAAUCAUCAUUGCAAUAAUGUCAUGUUUGGAAUGGAUUUUGUUCUUGAUGAAAAGACCAGAAGUUUUGUAUGGUUGUUCGAGGCUUUUAUGAGAUCUAUGGGAGGAUGUCGAGACCCCAUAACCUUAAUGACUGAUCAAGCCCCUUCAAUUGUUGUAGCAAUUCGACAAAAUUUUCCAAGCACUCGGCACCGUUUGUGCACUUGGCACCUUGGUGAGAAUUCAAAGAUCAAUAUACGAGGACUAAGAAUAUUUAAAGGGUUUCCAGAAGUUUUCGAUUAUUUGCUCAAGUACUGUGAAAGCCUUGCUCAAUUUGAACAUUACUAACCAAAGUGGAGUAUUGUCAUCCCAAAGGAGUGAAACAACACAUCAUUCUAUUUCUAAUAGAUUGAAUAAAACAGAUGGUUUGAGUGACUUUUAUAGUACAUUUCCUGUUAUAUUAGAGUGGAGGAGUAUAGAAAGUAAGCAAUAUUUACGUAUUUUGAGGGGUAACCCGUCAUCUUGCAGUAGCUAAUGUCAGUUUGCUCAUACACGCUAGGGAGAUUUAUACUAUUUCUGUGUAUGUGGUUUUUAAGGAAUAAUUUGCAAAAAGGCAUUUCAAGUUUUCAAGAGGCAAAAGUAUGAAGAUGAUGAGACUAUUUUUUAUUAUGUUUGGAGGCCAAAUAAGGACAUUAUAAGGCAUGAAGUUACUUAUGAGAAAUUCACCUUCAACAACAAUUGCACUUGUAAGUAUUGGAGUAUAAUGGGGUUGUUAUGUGGACACUCUCCUUGUAUCCAAAUUGCGACUUUCCCUCCAAUUUCAUUCUCUCGUGAUUCAUAUUUUUAUUCCAUGUGAAAAUGAUUGGGUGUGUCCUUGGUUGCUUAAUACCUCUUUUUUGCACUCGAUCACGAUACAACAACGGUGCCAUUAAAAAAGGGAUUUGUUAAACAUCGCCCACAAAUUACUACAUAAAGCCCACAAAAUUCACUUGGUUUGACAAUAUUGCCCUUGACCUAAAAAAAAAA